rnacentral:rRNA from 1 species
GGGGAAUAUUGCACAAUGGGCGAAAGCCUGAUGCAGCAACGCCGCGUGAGUGAUGACGGUCUUCGGAUUGUAAAGCUCUGUCUUUUGGGACGAUAAUGACGGUACCAAAGGAGGAAGCCACGGCUAACUACGUGCCAGCAGCCGCGGUAAUACGUAGGUGGCAAGCGUUGUCCGGAUUUACUGGGCGUAAAGGAUGUGUAGGCGGAUACUUAAGUGAGAUGUGAAAGCCCCGGGCUCAACCUGGGGACUGCAUUUCAAACUGGGUAUCUAGAGUGCAGGAGAGGAAAGCGGAAUUCCUAGUGUAGCGGUAAAAUGCGUAGAGAUUAGGAAGAACAUCAGUGGCGAGGGGGGCUUUCUGGACUGUAACUGACGCUGGGGCAUGAAGGCGUGGGGAGCAAAC